UUUAAAAAACCCUAAACCAAGCAGAUUUGGCGCUAAGAAUAUAAUAUUCAGAUCUCCCAACUAAUCCCCCCAAAACUUAUGUAAUUACCUAGAUGCAUUUAAUGAUGAUUUUGAAAUUCAAAUCUCCCAACUACUUCAUCUAUAUUCAGUUCUGGCAUGUUUCCAAAGCAUUAGGGUUCCAAUGAAAUGUGUUAUUACUAUCUAUAAAUUACAUUAUUCCCUUGCUCUUGCUUGCCUCAUUCAUCACCCCUGUGAAGUGAUGGCUCAUCACAGCAUCCAGUAUCCUACCAUUGUUUAACUGGUACUCAUCUUCUCUCUCAUUGAUGCGCUAUUUCUUCUCUCCGCCUUCUCUCUGUUUCUGCCUUCUCUGUUUCCGCCGUCGCAUCAUUCCGACAUCUGUGAAAUUACUGCUGUUUUGUUUUUUUUAAAAGGUUGUUGAUGUUUUGUUUUGGUGAAGAGUGUGAGGCAGAGAGAACAAAUACAGAGGCGAGAGAGGGUGAGGACGGUGGCAACGGUGGUGGUGGUGACGGUGAGAUGAUAUGGUGAUAGAUGACGUUAAUGGCGUUCAGAUCUGAGUGCGAGGUGCUGGAUGGUGGCGGUGGUGUGAUUUGUGUACUGUUAAAAGUGAGAAG
rnacentral:lncRNA from 1 species